UCUUUCAGUAUGUGGACUUGGAUGCUGCCGUCGAUGUCUACGGCUCGUCUGAAAUGCUUCAGUGUACCCUGCUUUGCGGCGUAUUCGGUGUGAUACAUCUUCACCGGAGUUGAUCCUUUUGAGGGUCGCGUCUGUAAUGUGUGGCUCUAUGCUUCCAACCGUCUCUCGAGACAAUCUCUGACAAUUUGACCUCAAAUCGGGUGGGACUACCCGCUGAACUUAAGCAUAUCAAUAAGCGGAGGAAAAGAAACUAACAAGGAUUCCCCUAGUAACGGCGAGUGAAGAGGGAAAAGCUCAAAUUUUGAAUCUGGUGUCUUUGACUCCCGAGUUGUAAUCUAGAGAAGUGUUUUCCGUGUCGGACCGUGCACAAGUUCCCUGGAACGGGGCGUCAUAGAGGGUGAGAAUCCCGUAUAUGGCACGGACUGCCGAUGCUUUUGUGAUACACUCUCAACGAGUCGAGUUGUUUGGGAAUGCAGCUCAAAAUGGGUGGUAAAUUCCAUCUAAAGCUAAAUAUUGGCGAGAGACCGAUAGCGAACAAGUACCGUGAGGGAAAGAUGAAAAGCACUUUGGAAAGAGAGUGAAACAGUACGUGAAAUUGUUGAAAGGGAAGCGUUUGAAGUCAGUCGUAUCUGGUGGGAUUCAGCCAGGCUUCUGCCCGGUGUACUUCUCGUCUGAUGGGUCAGCAUCAAUUUCGACCGGGGGAAAAAGAUGUGGGGAAUGUGGCUGCCUUCGGGCAGUGUUAUAGCCCCAUGUUGUAUGCCUCGGUUGGGAUUGAGGAACGCAGCGCGCCUAUAGGCCAGGGGCUACCCGCCU
rnacentral:rRNA from 1 species